GAGGACUCAUCUGAAGUUUCUCACUCUGCAGCGGGGGACCUUGAUGAUGCAUGAGGACUGGCAUCCCCGGCCACAAUGAACUAUUGUGCAUCUCCUGACUCACUCUACCUCUUGUGGAUACAAGAUGUCAAAGGUUGCCUGGCCUGGCCGACCAUGACAUCUUGCUGCUCAAUGGAAAAGAUUUGAUUUCUUUUGCCACUGUCCUACUAUGUUCAAGUCACAGAGUGCCAGCAGCAACCCGCCGAAGACCACGGGCUGGCACCGAGCGAGCUCGAGUGGGAAGCCAGCCGCAAGGACCAUCUGUUUCCGAUUUCCAACUGAGCCAAGAUGUGCAGUGAAGUGCAUUCCAUUCACCAGGCCAGGCAUCUCUCCUGCUUAACUUAUUAGUGUUACAAGUGAAACUAUCUUUCCCAAGCAGCAGGGGAGCUAUAAUCAUCCCAGAACAUGACUUUAACACACACACACACACACACACACACACACACACACACACACACACAUUCAGACAUCUUUUGUUAAAGUUGUGGGGAAGUCCACUUGUAAAUUUAAUUACAGCCUUCAUGGGGUUUAUAAAGUAUGUUUAUAACCUAAGAGGUGGGAGGCUCGAUGUUGGCUGAUUUCUUCUAAUUGAGCGCUCUGAUAUCUUUAGGCUGCUGUUUGUGGGGAUGGGGAGAAAUGACAAGAAGGAUGCACUCAUGUCACUGGGAAACUGACAGCUUUUAAGAGCAUGAUGGCCGUUAAGGACAGAUGUGGCAGGAGCCCCAACACAGAUACCCAAGUGCAGCCAAUGAUACUGAAAUGUAUCAAGAAAU